AUAACGGUCCUAAGGUAGCGAAAUUCCUUGUCGGGUAAGUUCCGACCCGCACGAAUGGUGUAAUGAUCUGGGCACUGUCUCAAUUACCCGCCCGGCGAAAUUGUAGUACCGGUGAAGAUGCCGGUUACCCGCGACAAGACGGAAAGACCCCAUGGAGCUUUACUGCAGCUUGAUAUUGGGUUUCGGUAAUCUAUGUACAGGAUAGGCGGGAGACUAGGAAGUAAAGGCGCCAGCUUUUACGGAGUCGCCCUUGGGAUACCGCUCUUAGAUUGCUGGAAUUCUAACCUGCGGCCAUGAAACUGGUCGGGGAACAUUGUCAGGCGGGCAGUUUGACUGGGGCGGUCGCCUCCUAAAGAGUAACGGAGGCGCUCAAAGGUUGGCUCAGCACGGACGGAAACCGUGCCUCUGAGUGUAAACGCACAAGCCAGCCUAACUGCGAGGAUGACGGUCCGAGCAGUAACGAAAGUUGGAGUUAGUGAUCCGGCGGUAUGUGAAUGGAAAUGCCGUCGCUCAACGGAUAAAAGCUACCCUGGGGAUAACAGGCUGAUCUCCCCCAAGAGUCCACAUCGACGGGGAGGUUUGGCACCUCGAUGUCGGCUCAUCGCAUCCUGGGGCUGAAGUAGGUCCCAAGGGUUGGGCUGUUCGCCCAUUAAAGCGGUACGCGAGCUGGGUUCAGAACGUCGUGAGACAGUUCGGUCCCUAUCUGUCGUGGGCGCAGGAUAUUUGAGGAGUGCUGUCCUUAGUACGAGAGGACCGGGAUGGACGCACCGCUGGUGCACCAGUUGUCACGCCAGUGGCACAGCUGGGCAGCUAAGUGCGGAUCGGAUAAACGCUGAAAGCAUCUAAGCGUGAAGCCGGCUCCAAGAUAAGAUAUCCCAUAACGAAAGUUAGUAAGACCCCUUGAAGACUACAAGGUUGAUAGGCUGCGUGUGUAAGUACCGUGAGGUAUUCAGCUUGGCAGUACUAAUAGGUCGAGGGCUUGACCAU
rnacentral:rRNA from 1 species